AAUGUUACUUUUGGCAUAACCUAACUAUAUAUAUAUAUAUAUAUAUAUAUAGAGUGAGACUACUAUGCUAUCGGAAGCACGGAGCCUUUCGUGCUUGGGCUCCGUGCUUCCAGCUCGUUUUCGAUGUUGCGACUUUCGAAUCAUCGAUCGGCUCCAUUAAACUUGAUCUAGAGUAUUUGAAGUACCUAUAAAAUAAAUUUUAUUAUUUUUCGAUAUCAUUUGCCUAGUGAUCGAAUGGGCUCAAAAUCAACAAAUUUUAACGGUCAUAGUGAGCCGUUUGCAAGUUUAACGGUGUAGAAAUAUCCAAAUCACGUAAAAUUUUGAUAGAAAAUUCUUCAUAUUAUAUAAAACAAGAUCAAUAUCUUUGAUUUAAUAUUUUAAUGUCAUAUUAUCACAUUUUGUAAGAUUUUUAUUUUUAA
rnacentral:lncRNA from 1 species